ACUUUCAACAACGGAUCUCUUGGUUCUCGCAUCGAUGAAGAACGCAGCGAAAUGCGAUAAGUAAUAUGAAUUGCAGAUUGUGAAUCAUCGAAUCUUUGAACGCACAUUGCACCGUGUGGCAUUCCACACGGUAUGCCUGUUUGAGCGUGGUUU
rnacentral:rRNA from 1 species